CAGAGUUUGAUUAUGGCUCAGGAUGAACGCUGGCGGCGUGCUUAACACAUGCAAGUCGAGCGAAGCACUUAUGAUGAUUCUUCGGAUGAACCAUUUGUGACUGAGCGGCGGACGGGUGAGUAACGCGUGAGUAACCUGCCUCAUACAGGGGAAUAACAGUUAGAAAUGACUGCUAAUGCCGCAUAAGCGCACAGGGCCGCAUGGCCCGGUGUGAAAAACUCCGGUGGUAUGAGAUGGACUCGCGUCUGAUUAGCUAGUUGGCAGGGUAACGGCCUACCAAGGCGACGAUCAGUAGCCGGCCUGAGAGGGUGAACGGCCAACAUUGGGACUGAGACACGGCCCAAACUCCUACGGGAGGCAGCAGUGGGGAAUAUUGCACAAUGGGGGAAACCCUGAUGCAGCGACGCCGCGUGAGUGAAGAAGUAUUUCGGUAUGUAAAGCUCUAUCAGCAGGAAGAAAAUGACGGUACCUGA
rnacentral:rRNA from 1 species